GACGAACGCUGGCGGCGUGCCUAACACAUGCAAGUCGAGCGGGGUUGAAGCGAGGGGUAACUCGGACUUCUACCUAGCGGCGGACGGGUGAGUAACGCGUGGGCAACCUGCCUCAAGGUUUGGGAUAACAGCUCGAAAGGGCUGCUAAUACCGGAUAUGCCUGUGGCCUCGCAUGGGGCUAUGAGCAAAGGGGAAACCCGCCUUGAGAUGGGCCCGCGUCCCAUCAGCUAGUUGGUGAGGUGAAGGCUCACCAAGGCGACGACGGGUAGCCGGCCUGAGAGGGUGACCGGCCACACUGGGACUGAGACACGGCCCAGACUCCUACGGGGGCAGCAGUGGGGGAUCUUGCACAAUGGGCGAAAGCCUGAUGCAGCGACGCCGCGUGAGCGAAGAAGGCCUCGGGUUGUAAAGCUCUGUCUGGAGGGACGGAAGGAAGUGACGGUACCUCCGGAGGAAGCCACGGCUAACUACGUG
rnacentral:rRNA from 1 species